rnacentral:rRNA from 1 species
UACGUAGGGGGCAAGCGUUGUCCGGAAUCAUUGGGCGUAAAGGGUGCGCAGGCGGCCGUGUGUGUCAGGUGUGAAAUCCCGGGGCUCAACCCCGGAACUGCGCCUGAAACUACAUGGCUAGAGUAUUGGAGAGGGUAGCGGAAUUCACGGUGUAGCAGUGAAAUGCGUAGAUAUCGUGAGGAACACCAGAGGCGAAGGCGGCUACCUGGACAAUUACUGACGCUCAGGCACGAAAGCGUGGGGAGCAAAAGGG